AUUGAACGCUGGCGGCAGGCCUAACACAUGCAAGUCGAACGGUAACAGGAAGAAGCUUGCUUCUUUGCUGACGAGUGGCGGACGGGUGAGUAAUGUCUGGGAAACUGCCUGAUGGAGGGGGAUAACUACUGGAAACGGUAGCUAAUACCGCAUAACGUCGCAAGACCAAAGAGGGGGACCUUCGGGCCUCUUGCCAUCGGAUGUGCCCAGAUGGGAUUAGCUUGUUGGUGGGGUAACGGCUCACCAAGGCGACGAUCCCUAGCUGGUCUGAGAGGAUGACCAGCCAACCUGGAACUGAGACACGUUCCAGACUCCUACGGGAGGCAGCAGUGGGGAAUAUUGCACAAUGGGCGCAAGCCUGAUGCAGCCAUGCCGCGUGUAUGAAGAAGGCCUUCGGGUUGUAAAGUACUUUCAGCGGGGAGGAAGGGAGUAAAGUUAAUCCCUUUGCUCAUUGCCGUUACCCGCAGAAGAAGCACCGGCUAACUCCGU
rnacentral:rRNA from 1 species